AGCUUGCGGUUUAAUUGGAUUCAACGCCGGAAAUCUUACCGGGACCGACAGCAAUAUGAAGGCCAGGCUGAAGACUUUGCCGGAUUAGCUGAGAGGUGGUGCAUGGCCGUCGUCAGUUCGUACUGUGAAGCAUCCUGUUAAGUCAGGCAACGAGCGAGACCCACGCCCACAGUUGCCAGCGUACUCUCUGGAGUGACGGGUACACUGUGGGGACCGCCGCUGCUAAAGCGGAGGAAGGAAUGGGCAACGGUAGGUCAGUAUGCCCCGAAUAUCCCGGGCUACACGCGAGCUACAAUGGUCAGGACAAUGGGUAUCGACACCGAGAGGUGGAGGCAAUCUCCUAAACCUGUCCUUAGUUCGGAUUGUGGGCUGCAACUCGCCCACAUGAAGCUGGAAUCCGUAGUAAUCGCGUUUCAAAAUAGCGCGGUGAACUAUCGUCCCUGCUCCUU
rnacentral:rRNA from 1 species